AAUUCAACAAUUGAAUCAAGAAGAUCUUCAACAGCAGCAGAAAUGAAAUCGCCGUAUGGGAAAAGAUCUGAAAAUCAAUAAGAUUUCUCUCGUUUUUAAUUGAAUCAACAAGUUUUAAAUCUAUGUAUGCGUUUAGAAUAUUGUUGUUUUUGUUGUUGAUGGUGAUUACUUGUCGUCAUCGUAACUGUAGAGGGUACUAAUGUUCAUCAAUAGUGUUGGUGGUGGAUAUGCAGGUUCUGGUGGAAGAUGAGGAGGUUGUAGUGGUAGAGGUGGUGGUAUUUGAGAAGUUUUGGAGGAGGAUCUAAAGUCAGUGUUACUAAGAAGGCUGACCCCAAGGUGCUGGCUAACAAAGCUUCCAAGGCUGUCAAAGCUGGAGCAUCAACCAUUAAGAAGAAGGCUAAGAAUAUCUGCACAUCAGUCAUAUUUCACAGGCCAAAGACAUUGCAGAAGGCAAGGAAUCCCAAGUACCAAUAUAUUAGUGCACUACCAAGGAACAAGCUGGACCAUUACCAGAUCCUGAAAUACCCACUCACCACCGAGUCCGCAAUGAAGAAGAUUGAAGACAACAAGAAGAAGAAAAUAAGGAUGCUUUCAAGAAGAUGUAAAACAUCCAGACAGAUAAAGUGAACACCG